UUUGUGUUUUGUUUGCAGGGGGCUCGUCAUCCUUUCGCUCAAGCUGUGGGCAGGAACAUUGCCAACCCGACCGCCAUGUUGCUAACCGCUACAAACAUGCUGCGCCACCUCAACCUAGAGUUUCACUCUAAUCUGAUAUCUGACGCGGUGAAGAGAGUGAUUAAACAAGGAAAGGUGCGAACACGCGAUAUGGGAGGUUACGCCACCACUACGGAUUUCAUCAAGGCUAUAACUGACUGCUUGCAUACCCGCUAUGCACACUAGUCCUCCAUCCCUCGCUGUCAGAUUUCUCUUGUGUCCUUUCAUUGUCACAGCCACCGGAACGUUCACACCAGGCUGCAUAGUUUUAUCUGUUCUCAGUAUUAAGUGCUUCUUAGGGUGGGUGACAGUAACUUUAGCUGGGUCGUUUAUAAAAUCAUAGGAUGAAUGUUUUAUACAGAGCAGUGGCCGAAUGUAUAUUUGUAUAUAAAUGUGCCACCUCCUAAACCCCCAGCCAGUGGGACAUCGUUGUGUAGUAAGUUGGCAACACUGGUCUUAAUAGAAAUAUAGGUUUAUUUUAUUGCAUUAUUUUAUAAGAUCAAAUAAAGAUUCAUUCAUACUUUU